rnacentral:rRNA from 1 species
AGAGCGAACGCUGGCGGCAGGCUUAACACAUGCAAGUCGAGCGGGCGUAGCAAUGCGUCAGCGGCAGACGGGUGAGUAACGCGUGGGAACGUACCUUUGGUUCGGAACAACCCAGGGAAACUUGGGCUAAUACCGGAUAAGCCCUUACGGGGAAAGAUUUAUCGCCGAAAGAUCGGCCCGCGUCUGAUUAGCUAGUUGGUGAGGUAAUGGCUCACCAAGGCGACGAUCAGUAGCUGGUCUGAGAGGAUGAUCAGCCACAUUGGGACUGAGACACGGCCCAAACUCCUACGGGAGGCAGCAGUGGGAAUAUUGGACAAUGGGCGCAAGCCUGAUCCAGCCAUGCCGCGUGAGUGAUGAAGGCCCUAGGGUUGUAAAGCUCUUUUGUGCGGGAAGAUAAUGACGGUACCGCAAGAAUAAGCCCCGGCUAACUUCGUGCCAGCAGCCGC